rnacentral:rRNA from 1 species
AUUGAACGCUGGCGGCAUGCCUUACACAUGCAAGUCGAACGGCAGCACGGGAGCAAUCCUGGUGGCGAGUGGCGAACGGGUGAGUAAUAUAUCGGAACGUGCCCAGUCGUGGGGGAUAACGCAGCGAAAGCUGUGCUAAUACCGCAUACGAUCUACGGAUGAAAGCGGGGGAUCGCAAGGCCUCGCGCGAUUGGAGCGGCCGAUAUCAGAUUAGCUAGUUGGUGGGGUAAAAGCCCACCAAGGCGACGAUCUGUAGCUGGUCUGAGAGGACGACCAGCCACACUGGAACUGAGACACGGUCCAGACUCCUACGGGAGGCAGCAGUGGGGAAUUUUGGACAAUGGGCGCAAGCCUGAUCCAGCAAUGCCGCGUGCAGGAUGAAGGCCUUCGGGUUGUAAACUGCUUUUGUACGGAACGAAACGGCUCUUUCUAAUAAAGAGGGCUAAUGACGGUACCGUAAGAAUGAGCACCGGCUAACUACGUGCCAGCCGCCGCCGUAA